rnacentral:rRNA from 1 species
AGUCGUUCUGCCCAUUGUUUUUAAAAGGCUGCGGUAUAUUAACUGUACAAAGGUAGCAAAAUAAAUAGUUUUUUAAUUGAAAACUUGAAUGAAAGAGUUGAUAAAAUAUAAAUUGUCUUAAAUAUUGAAUUUAAAUUAAAAGUUAAAAUGCUUUUAUAUUUUUAUUAGACGAUAAGACCCUAAGAAUUUUAUUAUUUAUUUUAUUUUUAUAAAUUUAUAAAGAAUGACUAAUUUUAUUGGGAGGGUAGAUAAAUUGAACUUUAAUUUAAUUAAAUAUUUUUUGAUAAAUUUAAUGAUUAUUAUUAAGAUUAUAAGAAUUAAUUACCUUAGGGAUAACAGCGUAAUAAUUUUGGAGAGUUCAUAUUGAUAAAAUUGUUUGCGACCUCGAUGUUGAAUUAAAAUAAAAAUUAAAUGGAGAAAUUUAAAUUUUUAGUCUGUUCGACUAUUAAAAUUUUAC